GUCUACGGCCAUGCCACCCUGAACGUGCCCGAUCUUGUCUGAUCUCGGAAGCUGAGCAGGGUCAGGCCUGAUUAGUACUUGGAUGGGAGACCACCUAGGAAGACUAGGUACUAUAGGCA
rnacentral:rRNA from 1 species